GGCAAUGGACGCAAGUCUGACCCAGCCAUGCCGCGUGCAGGAUGACUGCUCUAGUAGUUGUAAACUGCUUUUCUAUUUCAUGAACCCCUCUGACGUGUCAGGGGCUGACAGUAGAAUAGGAAUAAGCAUCGGCUAACUCCGUGCCAGCAGCCGCGGUAAUACGGAGGAUGCAAGCGUUAUCCGGAUUUACUAGGUUUAAAGGGUGCGUAGGCGGGGUAUCAAGUCAGUGGUGAAAUCCUGCAGCUCAACUGUAGAACUGCCAUUGAAACUGAUAUUCUUGAGUAUAGUUGAGGUAGGCGGAAUGUGUUAAGUAGCGGUGAAAUGCAUAGAGAUAACACAGAACACCGAUUGCGAAGGCAGCUUACUAAACUAUUACUGACGCUGAGGUACGAAAGCGUGGGGAGCGAACAGGAUUAGAUACCCUGGUAGUCCACGCCGUAAACGUUGAUCACUAGUUGUUUGCGAUACAUUGUGAGCGACUGAACAAAAGCAUUAAGUGAUCCACCUGGGGAGUACGUUGGCAACGAUGAAACUCAAAGGAAUUGACGGGGGCCCGCACAAGCGGAGGAACAUGUGGUUUAAUUCGAUGAUACGCGAGGAACCUUACCUGGGCUUAAAUGUAAGACGACUAACAGGGAAACUUGUUAUCUUUCGAGCGUCCUACAAGGUGCUGCAUGGUUGUCGUCAGCUCGUGCCGUGAGGUGUCGGGUUAAGUCCCAUAACGAGCGCAACCCUUAUCGUUAGUUGCCAGCGGGUAAUGCCGGGGACUCUAGCGAAACUGCCAUCGUAAGAUGUGAGGAAGGUGGGGAUGACGUCAAAUCAGCACGGCCCUUAUGUCCAGGGCUACACACGUGUUACAAUGGUCGAAACAAGGGGCAGCUACUUGGUGACAAGAUGCUAAUCUCUAAAAUCGAUCUCAGUUCGGAUCGAAGUCUGCAAUUCGACUUCGUGAAGUUGGAUUCGCUAGUAAUCGCGCAUCAGCAAUGGCGCGGUGAUACGUUCCCGGGCCUUGUACACACCGCCCGUCAAGCCAUGGAAGCUGGGGGUACCUGAAGUCUGUAACCGA
rnacentral:rRNA from 1 species